CUUGUAACAAGUCUGAUAAUGCCAUCAAGCUUGUUACAAGUUGUUAACAGCUUGUUCCAAACUUGUUACAACAACUGGGAACAAGCAGUGCGAACACUUGUCGACAGCUUGUGGAAGAGAUUUGUGACAACUUGUUUGCAGACUUGUAACAACUUGUGCGUUUUUACGUGUGUAAAUCGACUUCAGAAACGUUGAUACUGAUAGAAGCAAGUCAAUAAUACACUAUCUUUCAACUUAUUUGCUACAACUACAGCAUAUAAUGAAAGAAAUUAACUUUAUUUUCACUGCAAUAACUGAUCUUGUUCUCUGGUCACGUGUGUUUGGACAUCCCAACACGUGCACGCAGCUGCGCAAUGUAAUUACUCAGUUUGAGCGUUGGACCAAGUUUCAUGUUGGUAAACUGCAUGAGAGUACUUCGUGUUAGCAUCAGCAAAGAUUCGCCAUCAAUUUCCUGG
rnacentral:lncRNA from 1 species